AAUUUUAUUUUAAUAACAUACUAGAUUUUGAUCCGCGCUUUGAAAGCGCGGGAUUUGUUUUCUGUUAAGUUAACAUAUCAAAACAUGUUUAUUUCGAUUGUAUUAGGAAAUAAAAUUGUAAGAUGUGUAAUUAUGUUUCGAGAUUCAUAGUUGACAAAACUGUUCAUAUAUUUGACUUAAAGACUGGUGUAACCGCAACGGGUUAUGGUUGCGGUUGGACGGAUGGUUGCGGUUUUACGUGAUAUUCAGGAACUUUAUACGAUUGGUACUACGGUUA